rnacentral:rRNA from 1 species
AUGGAUAUAGUGUCCGCGUCAAACAUCGCUGGUGUAUUCGUCCAGAGACACUUAUUCUGCUCUGCAGGACCGACAUCUACCGCUCCAUCUAGCUCUAUGUUGUGUGAGUUCGCGACCCCGGCCAUCGCCUUGGCGGAGGCGGUCGCUCCUCUAGACCGCGAUGACCGGCAGCCAGGACAGCAACGUACUAGUGGUGUUGCGGGUGGAGACGUCGUGCUGGACAGUGUAGCCAGCGAGGUCGCUGGUUUACUCCUGGCCUCGCCGGAUCCUACCUCACCAUCUGUAGGUCUCUGUUUGGAGAUGGAAGGAUCCAUGGGAGGGGGGAGGGGCGUCGUGUAG